rnacentral:rRNA from 1 species
GAGGAAUUUUCGGCAAUGGGGGCAACCCUGACCGAGCAACGCCGCGUGCAGGACGAAGGUUUUCGGAUCGUAAACUGCUUUUCUCGAGGACGAGCAAGGACGGUACUCGAGGAAGAAGCCCCGGCUAACUACGUGCCAGCAGCCGCGGUAAUACGUAGGGGGCAAGCGUUGUCCGGAAUCAUUGGGCGUAAAGAGCGUGUAGGCGGCUCGAUAAGUCUGCUGUGAAAGUCCAGGGCUCAACCCUGGAAGGCCGGUGGAAACUGUCGGGCUAGAAUCCGGAAGAGGCGAGUGGAAUUCCCGGUGUAGCGGUGAAAUGCGCAGAUAUCGGGAGGAACACCAAUGGCGAAGGCAGCUCGCUGGGACGGUAUUGACGCUGAGACGCGAAAGCGUGGGGAGCAAAC